UGCUCAAGGUCAGUGUCAUCUUUGUGUUU
rnacentral:piRNA from 1 species